rnacentral:rRNA from 1 species
AAAUGUUAGUUCAGGCAACGAAACUGCGAAUAGCUCAUUAGUACGCUCAGAAUCUAUUCGACGGCAAUCAAAAGAUUUUAAAUGGAUAGCAGAAGUAACUCUUGUGCUAAUACAUGCGAUUGUUUCUCCAGAAACGAUUUAUGGAGGAAAAGUUGACCUCUCAGGAGGCACGUCGUUCGAUUGAGUGACCUAUCAGCUUGUACUUAGGGUCUUUACCUAGGUAGGCUAUCACGGGUAACGGGCGGUUACCGUCGGACUGCCGGAGAAGGCGCCUGAGAGAUAGCGACUAUAUCUACGGGUAGCAGCAGGCGCGAAACUUUCCCACUCGAGACAUUCGGAGGAGGUAAUGACCAGUUCCAUGGAAGCCUCACGGCUUUGUGGAUAGGAUAACACCUUGAAAGUGAUAUGAAAUCUAGCAGAGGGCCAGUCUGGUGCCAGCAGCUGCGGUAAUUCCAGCUCUGCGAGUUUGCUCCCAUAUUGUUGCAGUUAAAACGCCCGUAGUCUGAAUUGGCUAGUAAUGGCCGAGAGAAAUUCGUUCACUGUGAACAAAUCAGGACGCUUAGAGUAUGGUCUCAUGAACGACUCAGCGCAGUAUGAAGUCUUUGUUUUCUCCGGAAAACAAGCUCAACGAGAGCCAUCGGGGGUAGAUCUAUUUCAUGGCGAGCGGUGAAAUGCUUUGACCCAUGAGAGACACAGAAGCGAAGGCGUCUACCUAGAGGGUUUCUGUCGAUCAAGGGCGAGAGUAGGAGGAUCCAACCGGAUUAGAGACCCGGGUAGUUCCUACUGUAAACGAUGCCGACAGGAGUUUGUCUAUUAUAGGCAGAAUCCACGGAGAAAUCAUAGUUCUUGGGCUCUGGGGGAACUACGACCGCAAGGCUGAAACUUGAAGGAAUUGACGGAAGGGCACACCAGGGGUGGAGCUUGUGGCUUAAUUUGAAUCAACACGGGGAAACUUACCAGGACCAGAUGGUUUUUAUGACUGACAGGCUUCGGGUCUUUCAGGAUAUGCUUUUUGGUGGUGCAUGGCCGUUGGUGGUGCGUGGGUUGACCUGUCUAGCGUUGAUUCAGAUAACGAGCGAGAUUAUCACCAAUUAAUUACAAGCACUUCCUCUAGAGGUGUGUUGUUCUAAUUGGGACUCCCUGUGAUUAUAGCAGGAGGAAGAGGGUAGCAAUAACAGGUCCGUGAUGUCCUUUAGAUGCUCUGGGCUGCACGCGCGCUACAAUGCUAGGAUCAAUAGGAAGCUACUCUGACAAGAGGCGCUACUCUUAUAAUCCCUAGCGUAGUUGGGAUUGAUGCUUGUAAUCAGCAUCAUGAACCAGGAAUCCCUUGUAAAUGUGUGUCAACAGCGCACGUUGAAUACGUCCCUGCCCUUUGUACACACCGCCCGUCGCUCCUACCGAUUGGAUGACUCGGUGAAAUCGCCAGACGCCUUCGGGUUAAGGCGAUUAAAUCACGUUAUCUA